rnacentral:rRNA from 1 species
GACGAACGCUGGCGGCGUGCCUAAUACAUGCAAGUAGGACGCAGUUGCGAACGGGUGAGUAACGCGUAGGUAACUACCUAUUAGAGGGGGAUAACUAUUGGAAACGAUAGCUAAUACCGCAUACUAGUAGAUGGACCUGCGUUGUAUUAGCUAGUAGGUAGGGUAAUGGCCUACCUAGGCACCGAUACAUAGCAGACAUGAGAGGGUUAUCGGCUACACGGGGAGGGAGACACGGCCCAGACUCUUACGGGAGGCAGCAGUAGGGAAUCUUCGGCAAGUGGGGGAACCCUGACCGAGCAAAGCCGCGUGAGUGAAGAAGGUUUUCGGAUCGUAAAGAUCUUGUGUUAAGGAAGCGGUACUUAACCAGAAAGGGACGGCUAACUACGGGCCAGCAGCCGCGGUAAUAC